rnacentral:lncRNA from 1 species
AUUCAAGAGUUUUGUUACUCUUCUGGAUUUCUAAAGUGAUGAAAGCAAGAUUGCAUUACACAAUCGUCUUUAGCUAUAGUUUGCAUCUUUUUCUCGUUUAAUUGCCAGGAAUAAUAGUGAACGGAAAUGUAGUUUUCCAAUCUGCCGACCAGAUGUUUGAUGAAAUGCCCGAAUAGAAAAUUUCUUGUAACUUCAAAUGCUGAAUUCAACUAAAAAAAUAUGAGAUAUCCACAAAAAGGCAAAUCAAGUUUGAGUGUGGUCAUGCUUCUUAAUUGGGUUAAUAUUCUUAGCCAACGUUUUGAACUUAAACUAGUGGCACUGCAAUGUUGGUUUCAAGCAUUUGUUCAAUUGGAAUCCUUCCACUGAAAUUAAGAUGGAAUUUCGUUGAUAUGGUCAGACCUUUUAGGUCUUCUUAUUGCAAUGAAAAAUGCUACUUGAUUCUGAUUAAUGCUACUUGAUUCUGAUUGUAAUGAAAAUGUCUUAAUUGGGUUUAUAUUCUUAUUACAAAUUUAAAUUUCUGUCACGUUGAUGUGAUCCUUUCACAUUGUUCAACUAAAUUAGUUCGAUGGCAAUCAAGAAUAAGGAAAUUUGUCAAUGUUGUAGACAGGUAGGACAUAUGUUGUCGGAGUGCCCAAAAAAAAGAAGAUGCCCAAACUGUGGUGCAGGCUUUAUCAAAUGAAUGGAGGUGGAAAAGAACAAUGAACAUAAAGGAUUGUUGUUUCAUUGUUGUACCCGCGAUUGCAAGUAUUUCAAAUGGUGUAAGAAAUUUAUGGAUGAAAAAUGUGAAUUGCAUGACGACGGUGAAUCAAGUGUCACUUUAAAAGGAGGUGAGCUUGUUGCGGAGUUGUCGCAUAUGUUGAAAAUGCUUGCUAAGCUGACGGAGGAAAAAGACUUGGAGAUUUCCCUCAACAUCAACAUGCGUAAGGGAAAACAAGAGUCCGAAGAUUUUAUCUAAACUUAGAUGUAAUUCUACUCUAUGCAAUACGAUAUUGUGGAUGUAAUGAAGUCGUUGAGUCUUAUGAUUUUGUUCGUGUACAUAUUUGUUCGUCUCUAGUGUCUUUGUUAGCUGCCGUGGGUGUUAUGAAUCUACUUCCCUCGUGCAAGGCAAGUAGAAUUGUGCUCAACUAUUAGGUCCAUUUAAAAAUCAUGAAUUAGGAUUGGUUGCAAUGUGGGUUAUGUUCUUAUGGUGAAAUAUUGUUGUGUACCAACUGUUUUCUCCAAAUUUUUGCCCUCGAAAACAUUAUGCAUAUAAUUUAUCGUGCUUAUUAUUAAUUACAAGUAAAA